CGGCGGACGGGUGAGUAACGCGUGGGUAACCUGCCUCCAUACAGGGGGAUAACAGUUGGAAACGGCUGCUAAUACCGCAUAAGCGCACAGUACCGCAUGGUACGGUGUGAAAAACUCCGGUGGUAUGAGAUGGACCCGCGUCUGAUUAGGUAGUUGGUGGGGUAACGGCCUACCAAGCCGACGAUCAGUAGCCGACCUGAGAGGGUGACCGGCCACAUUGGGACUGAGACACGGCCCAA
rnacentral:rRNA from 1 species